UACGGAGGGGGCUAGCGUUGUUCGGAAUUACUGGGCGUAAAGCGCACGUAGGCGGCUUUGUAAGUUAGAGGUGAAAGCCCGGAGCUCAACUCCGGAAUUGCCUUUAAGACUGCAUCGCUUGAAUCAUGGAGAGGUGAUUGGAAUUCCGAGUGUAGAGGUGAAAUUCGUAGAUAUUCGCAAGAACACCAGUGGCGAAGGCGGCUCACUGGCCCGUUACUGACGCUGAGGCACGAAAGCGUGGGGAGCAAACAGG
rnacentral:rRNA from 1 species